UAGUCAUGGGUGGUAAACUGAAAAAGGGAAGCUGACUAAGUAAAAUCCCGGAAACCAGAAGAGGAGGAUGUAAGUGACGCUCUAACAUGAAGGGUUUUUGGGCAUCCCAAUCAGCAGAAUUUCUACCUGCCUUCUGAUACCCUGAGACAGCCAGGUCAGGAUGUGAUGGUGCAGUACCUGCUAGCACUUUGCUGCAGAAUGCCUCUGCACUCAGUUCUGCAAAUGUACUGUUUUAGUUUCAUUUAAAACCCCUUUUUUUGUGAGAAGAUUUCAAACAUCAGGCAAGUUUGUAAUGAAUUCAAGCUGAGUUCUCUCGAGGGACAAACAUGUAUAACUACAGUUCCAGUGUCAGUGCCAGCUGUCAGGUUUUCACUGUGCAGCUAGGGCUGCCUGCAUACCCAGUCAUGUAAACCAAAUUCACUCUAGAAUCGGCCAGGUCUUACCAAAAUGCAAAUAGAAUACAAAGCAACUGGAAAUAUAUUUCGUAAUUUCAUUUUAUGUGUGAUUUUAAAAGUUAAGCUACUUCAAAACUCAUCUGUCUAACUUAUUUUCACUAAUAAGUGUAACUUGCCUGGAAUUUGGCAGAUCUAAGCUGGGCUUGGGCUAGAUGGUUUCAAGCCUGAGUCAUUAAGAUGUGAAAUUUACAGAAACAACAGAGGAUUGAGGAACAAGUUAAAGGACACUCUAAUGGUGCAGUCUGCAUAAUGCAGUAGUAUGAAAUUCUACAAAAAACCAAGAUGAAAGGAGGAUCAGAUUUAAGAGACAUACUAAUCAAAUUUGGACCUGAUUGGGUUCUGAUUGAAACUAAAAAUAAAUGUCAUGACACUUACAAGACAAUUGGAAAUUUGAACACUACAUAUUUUAACGUAUAAUGUUACUUAUUUAAUAUAAAAUUAUAUUUUAGAUGUGAUAGUAUUGUGGUUACG
rnacentral:lncRNA from 10 species